ensembl:lncRNA
CUCUUGGGUUUUGCACUGUGUGUGGGUUUUUCCCCUUCAGCGCAACCGUUGGGUAGCAGUUGGGCUGGGGGUGGCUGGCAGUAAUCUUUAAAAUGGCUCUCGGGAUGGGCCGAGGCCCUGGUGUUUAUUCCCAGAGCUUCCUGAGCCAUAGAAAAUUCAUUGCAUUUUAUUCACGUAUUUGUACCACGUGAGGCUUGUGUUUUCAGAAAAACAAGUGUGGCUGGUCACUUUGAGUGUCUAAUUUUGGUGUUUAACAGUCAUGAGACACGGUAAAGAGGAAAAACAGCAAGAACCAUCUGUGUUCUAAAGGUUUAAUGACAUGAAGAUUUAAUGCUUGUAGCUGUUUCAGCCAUCUGGAGAAAGCCUGGGUCUGCUGAGAGCUGCACACACUGCCUGAGUUAGGACUAAUUCAAAGAUGAGAGCACCAUGAAAGUGAAAGUGAAAGUCACUCAGAGGUGUCCAACUCUCUGCGACCCUAUGGACUACACAGUCCAUGGAAUUCUCCAGCCCAGAAUAUUGGAGUGCAUAGCCGUUCCCUUCUCCAGGGGAUCUUCCCAACCCAGGGAUGGAACCCAGGUCUCCCACAUUACAGUUAGA